rnacentral:rRNA from 1 species
GUGGGGAAUUUUGCGCAAUGGGGGAAACCCUGACGCAGCAACGCCGCGUGCGGGACGACGGCCUUCGGGUUGUAAACCGCUUUCAGCAGGGAAGAAAUUCGACGGUACCUGCAGAAGAAGCUCCGGCUAACUACGUGCCAGCAGCCGCGGUAAUACGUAGGGAGCGAGCGUUAUCCGGAUUCAUUGGGCGUAAAGAGCGCGUAGGCGGCCUCUCAAGCGGGAUCUCUAAUCCGAGGGCUCAACCCCCGGCCGGAUCCCGAACUGGGAGGCUCGAGUUCGGUAGAGGCAGGCGGAAUUCCCGGUGUAGCGGUGGAAUGCGCAGAUAUCGGGAAGAACACCGAUGGCGAAGGCAGCCUGCUGGGCCGCAACUGACGCUGAGGCGCGAAAGCUAGGGGAGCGAACAGGAUUAGAAACCCUAGUAGUCC